GUUCCCUCCGGCCCUUCGCGAGCCUUGCCUGGCUCUCUUCUAUUGAGGAAAAAGAUGCAGAAGGCAGUGGAUGUACCACUCUCCCCGUUCAAGAUUCUGAUCGCACGUCUCUCUGGUUUUCCUCCAUCAUAGUUCCUCUAUUUUCCACUCUAUCUCUCCGAAUGUUGUUCUGAUUCAUGUGCGCAUUCAUAAUCGAGUUUCUGUAAGUGCAAUUCUCGAUCGAUAGGUUUCUGCAGCUUUCGCCGAGAGGUACGAUAGAGUUCCGCAUCCCGAUUCUAGCUUGGAGGAUUGCAUUUCCGAGUGUGGAGGAUUCACAUUACAUAGUUAAGGAGGUAGUUCGAAUGAAGAUUCUCAUGUAUGCUUCCACUUUGGUUUAACAGACGACUCAAUCUGUUGUCAACAUUCCUCAAGUCCUCUGUGUAACGGUGCCAUUGCGGAGACUUCAGAUGGGAAAAUUGUUUUGUUGCAAAGAGUAACAAUGUUGAUGAAUUUCCGGGAGGCCAUCUAGAGCCCCAAUAGCUUGGAAUAGCAUACCAUGAUGAUGUGAAAGGUUUUGCAGAUUCCAAUACCAUUAACAGAAGGCUUUCGUGGAAGAUGUUUGACAGAAUUAUCCGAGAAGUUGUUGAACAUAUUGGAGUACAAACAGAAUCCCUUAACAGCCAAGUCUCGAAGAUAAUUAAAUGUCAGACCAGCUGUUUUCUUCUUCAUAAAGAGUAUUCUGGAUUCUGUUAAAUUCAGGAACUGUAUACCAGUGCACAAGAUGAGUCUGCUCAACUUUAUACAGUUCCAUUGACAGUAAAGCAAGUAGGAUUAAUCCAAGCAGGAAGGUAUGCCUCGUAUCUCAAUUAUCUUUCAUGGCAUUAAACGUGCUAGAUUAUUUGUUUAUGUCUUGAUCUUUUAUUAAAAAAAUGGGUGGAAUAUCACUAAGAAUCUUCCUUUUCCGUCAUGUCAUUUUUACUUUGACAAAAAAAGGUUCAGUAGGUCUAUCUAUUUAUCAGCAUCAACCAAUAAAAACAGACCAAAUAUAAAAGGAGGAAUUCCUACUUAUUUAUGGUAGUAACUAUUUUGCGUCCAUGACCUUUCUUUCUCAUAUUUUGUUAGCAUAAUUACGUUUUCAUAUUAAAGUUCACCCAUUUAGAACACGUUCCUCUAUCAGUUUAAUAUUGUGGACAUGUGUAAGUCAAUACAGUAUAAUAGCAAUUGAGCUUAUUUUUAGGGAUUGUCAAACUAGACUAGCAUAUAGAUUAAUCUUUUUUCUUCCCAAGAAAAUGUAAGCAUUUGACUAUCAUCUGAGCCCAUCAUUUAUCAUCACUCAUGGUAUUAUUGGGAUUGAGUCCCACGACGAUUAAUUUAUUUAGUGGAAGAUCAUGAGUUUAUAAGUGAGGAAUAUUAUCUCCAGUGGUAUGAGACCUUUUGAGGAAGCCUAAAGGAAAACCAUAAGAGUUUAUGCUUAAAAUGGACAAUAUCAUACCAUUGUAUGGAGUUGUGAUUCCUAACCGUUUCUAUUGCUCGAAGACAAUGAUUUCAUCCCUUCCCAUGAUAAUUAACCCAUACAAAUAAGUCGUGCUGUAAAUGUCAAAACUUGAUUGAUUAAAAUUGGUAGGUGGUUGACUCUUGAAAGUGAUAGAUAAAAAAAGGAUGGCAGCAGUUGUUUACUUUUGUGCAUUAUUAAAGCAAUCUACCACUGUGAAAAUUGAACUGCCUCAAGUUUCGAAAGUGACCGUUUUGGUUUCUCACACUGAGGUUAAGACGAUUGGAUGAAAAUAAAGCAACCUUUGUUGGCCAAGUCCACAGUCAACAACCCAUUACUGGAUUUUUAACAUUUGUGGACUUUUCUUUCCCCCAUCCUUUUAUUUUAUUUCUUAAAUUAACAUAAUGUCUAUUUGUUGAUGAGCAUGGAGGGCCCCACAUGGGCAAGUCACUUCGUCUUCAUGUGGAAGUAUAUUGGCCCAAAUUCGAAGAACAACCGAGCUUGCCACACGUGAGGUUAGUUGCCUUUAAAAGAUUCCUUUUACAUUACGCGUGUAACGCACCAAUUGAGGAUCCCAUUUGUUUUCAUUUUUAUUCAUUUUUAUAGAAUACAACUUGUGUCUUCUUAACUAAUUAAACAAAUUUCCAACAUACUUUUUAAAAUCAUUCAUCUAUUUCUAUUAAAUAUAUAAUGUUUUACGACUUUAAUAGUAC